rnacentral:rRNA from 1 species
CCUACGGGGGGCUGCAGUGGGGAAUAUUGGACAAUGGGCGAAAGCCUGAUCCAGCCAUGCCGCGUGUGUGAAGAAGGCCUUCGGGUUGUAAAGCACUUUCAGUGGGGAAGAAAGCCUUGGGGCUAAUACCCUCGAGGAAGGACAUCACCCACAGAAGAAGCACCGGCUAACUCCGUGCCAGAAGCCGCGGUAAUACGGAGGGUGCGAGCGUUAAUCGGAAUUACUGGGCGUAAAGCGCGCGUAGGCGGUCUGAUAAGCCGGUUGUGAAAGCCCCGGGCUCAACCUGGGAACGGCAUCCGGAACUGUCAGGCUAGAGUGCAGGAGAGGAAGGUAGAAUUCCCGGUGUAGCGGUGAAAUGCGUAGAGAUCGGGAGGAAUACCAGUGGCGAAGGCGGCCUUCUGGACUGACACUGACGCUGAGGUGCGAAAGCGUGGGUAGCAAACAGGAUUAGAUACCCUUGUAGUC